rnacentral:rRNA from 1 species
UACAGAGGUCCCAAGCGUUGUUCGGAUUCACUGGGCGUAAAGGGCUCGUAGGCGGCCAACUAAGUCAUACGUGAAAUCCCUCGGCUUAACCGGGGAACUGCGUCUGAUACUGGAUGGCUUGAGUUCGGGAGAGGGAUGCGGAAUUCCAGGUGUAGCGGUGAAAUGCGUAGAUAUCUGGAGGAACACCGGUGGCGAAGGCGGCAUCCUGGACCGAUACUGACGCUGAGGAGCGAAAGCCAGGGGAGCAAACGGG